rnacentral:siRNA from 1 species
ACAAGAUUUGCGGCGCCGCAU